AUACGGAGGGUGCAAGCGUUACUCGGAAUCACUGGGCGUAAAGCGCGCGCAGGCGGCUAUUUAAGUUGGAUGUGAAAGCCUACGGCUCAACCGUAGAACUGCAUCCAAAACUAUUUAGCUAGAGUGUGGGAGAGGAAGAUGGAAUUAGUUGUGUAGGGGUAAAAUCCGUAGAGAUAACUAGGAAGACCAAAAGCGAAGGCAAUCUUCUGGAACACUACUGACGCUGAGGCGCGAAAGCGUGGGGAGCAAACAGGAUUAGAUACCCUAGUAGUCC
rnacentral:rRNA from 1 species